CCUUUAAAAAAGAGAUGGNAAAGNNNUNAANUUGAGAAGAGGGGAAUUUAUUAGAAUGAAAANGAGUAGAUUUAGUGUAUUGUUGAGUAAUAAUAAUUUAUAAUAUGGUAUGGUUAGGUAGUGAUAUGUUUUUUAAGUUUAUGGAAUAUUAGUUUUUGAUGGUAGUGUAUUGGAGUAUUAUGGUAGUAAUGGGUAAUGAAGAAUUUGGGUUAGAUUUUGGAGAGGGAGUUUGAGAGAUGGUUAAUAUAUAUAAGGAAGGUAGUUAGGAGAGUAAAUUAAUAAAUGUUGUAAAAGGGAGGUAGUGAUAUUAAAUAAGAAUGUGGAAUUAUUAGUUUUGUAAUUGGAUUGAGAAUAAUGUAUAAAUUUUAUUGAUAAAUAAUUGGAGGGUAAGUAUGGUGGAAUUAGUGGAUGUAAUUUAAGUUGAAAUAGAGUAUAUUAAAAGUUGUUGAAGUUAAAAAAUUGAAAAAA
rnacentral:rRNA from 1 species